UGGUACUGAGACACGGACCAGACUCCUACGGGAGGCAGCAGUAAGGAAUAUUGGUCAAUGGGCGGAAGCCUGAACCAGCCAUGCCGCGUGAAGGAAGACUGCCCUAUGGGUUGUAAACUUCUUUUAACAGAGGAUAAAGUCGCGUAUGUAUACGCGUUUGCAGGUAUCUGUUGAAUAAGGACCGGCUAACUCCGUGCCAGCAGCCGCGGUAAUACGGAGGGUCCGAGCGUUAUCCGGAUUUAUUGGGUUUAAAGGGUGCGCAGGCGGAUUAAUAAGUCAGCGGUGAAAUUCCACAGCUCAACUGUGGCGCUGCCGUUGAUACUGUUAGUCUUGAGUAUGCUUGAGGUAGGCGGAAUGUAGUGUGUAGCGGUGAAAUGCAUAGAUAUGCUACAGAACACCAAUUGCGAAGGCAGCUUACCAAAUCAAUACUGACGCUCAUGCACGAAAGCGUGGGGAUCAAACAGGAUUAGAUACCCUGGUAGUCCACGCUGUAAACGAUGAUUACUCGCUGUUUGCGAUAUACCGUAAGCGCCCAAGCGAAAGUGAUAAGUAAUCCACCUGGGGAGU
rnacentral:rRNA from 1 species